GAUGGUUUUGUGUAGGGCCCUAUG
rnacentral:misc_RNA from 1 species